rnacentral:rRNA from 1 species
AGGCUUAACACAUGCAACUCGAGCGCCCCGCAAGGGGAGCGGCAGACGGGUGAGUAACGCGUGGGAAUCUACCUUUUGCUACGGAAUAACGCAGGGAAACUUGUGCUAAUACCGUAUGUGUCCUUCGGGAGAAAGAUUUAUCGGCAAGAGAUGAGCCCGCGUUGGAUUAGCUAGUUGGUGGGGUAAAGGCCUACCAAGGCGACGAUCCAUAGCUGGUCUGAGAGGAUGAUCAGCCACAUUGGGACUGAGACACGGCCCAA